rnacentral:rRNA from 1 species
UACGUAGGGAGCAAGCGUUGUCCGGAAUCAUUGGGCGUAAAGCGUGUGUAGGUGGCCAUACAAGUCAGUUGUGAAAUCCCCGGGCUCAACCCGGGAAGUGCUUCUGAUACUGCAUGGCUUGAGUACUAGAGAGGAUAGUAGAAUUCCAGGUGUAGUGGUGAAAUACGUAGAUAUCUGGAGGAAUACCGGUGGCGAAGGCGGCUAUCUGGCUAAGUACUGACACUGAAACACGAAAGCGUGGGGAGCAAACAGG